GUAGUUAGCCGGGGCUUCCUCCUUGGCUACCGUCACUUUCUUCGUCACCAAGGACAGAGGUUUACAACCCGAAGGCCUUCUUCCCUCACGCGGCGUUGCUGGGUCAGGCUUUCGCCCAUUGCCCAAUAUUCCCCACUGCUGCCUCCCGUAGGAGUCUGGACCGUUUCUCAGUUCCAGUGUGGCCGAUCACCCUCUCAGGUCGGCUACCCAUCGAUGGCUUGGUGCGCCGUUACCGCUCCAACUACCUAAUGGGACGCGAGCUCACCUCGCACCGGGUUUCCCCUUUGACCUCUGUGUCAUGUGACACUGUGGUCUCAUGUGGUAUUAGCACCUGUUUCCAAGUGUUAUCCCACUGUGCAAGACAGAUUACUCACGCGUUACUCACCCGUCCGCCGCUAAAACAACUACCGAAGCAGUUGUCUCCGCUCGACUUGCAUGUGUUAGGCACGCCGCCAGCGUUCGUCCUGAGCCAGAAUCGAACCCUGA
rnacentral:rRNA from 1 species